rnacentral:rRNA from 1 species
CUUCCGCCGGACCUGACUGCUAUCGGAUUGAUACUAAGCCAUGCGGGUCUUUGUAGUAAUACAAGGCAGACGGCUCAGUAACGCGUAGUCAAUCUACCCUAUGGACGAGGAUAACUCGGGGAACUGUGAGAAUAAUACUCGAUAGAACAUUAUGCCUGGAAUGGUUUAUGUUCCAAAUGAUUUAUCGCCGUAGGAUGGGACUGCGGCCUAUCAGUUUGUUGGUGAGGUAAUGGCCCACCAAGACUAUUACAGGUACGGGCUCUGAGAGGAGUGGCCCGGAGAUGGGUACUGAGACACGGACCCAUGCCCUAUGGGGCGCAGCAGGCGAGAAAACUUUGCAAUGUGCGAAAGCACGACAAGGUUAAUCCGAGUGGUUUCUGCUAAAGAGACCUUUUGUCGGUCCUAGAAACACCGAUGAAUAAGGGGUGGGCAAGUUCUGGUGU